GAAGUCUAGGCUGGAUGUUUCCCUUCCAAUACCCGCUUAAGGGCCGUUGCAAGGACCUGGCAGGGUUUCUGAGGCGCGCCAGGUGGCUUUUCCUCCAGGGAAGACCACCCCCCAGCAGCGCCUUCCCGCAGGUUCGACAGGGCCCCUGCACCAAGCCGACUGGGGAGAGAAAAAAGCUGGGGAAACCCCCCAGGAAGCCUAAACAGGGCCUCCCACACCCUGGCACCUCCGGAGGGGUUUCGUGAGGGCGCUGAGGGGGGUCCCAGGCCCCUUUUGGGGGGGCUUGCUGAAGAAGCCAUGCUGAGGGGACGAGGCUGAGGGCUCUGCUCCUGGCCCGGCCUGGCCUUCCUUCAAGCCUCCGCCCCCACAACCUCCCUCUUCUGCCUCAGACCAAAGGGGACGCGCACAGGACGAGGCCCGGCAAGGCGAAGACCCCCGUGCGCUGCAGCCCCCCAAGCCUGAAGACGGGAAGUUCCAAAGUGCCAGCCGAGAGAUGGAAGGAAAGCGGAGAUCAGAAUGACGGGAAAAGUCACCAGAGCAUCACCAGCCACGCCUCUCGGCUUCCCCCCCUCUGUUGGAAGCAAUGAGUCUGCUGAACGCUGUUUGCUGAAAGAAGUCAUGUUUGCCAG